UUCCUUUGAAGGCUGGCUGCCCCCAUUAUUUCCUGCUCUUCACUGCCCUAAGUGCCACUGGCUUGCCCACAGCUUUUUUGUUAACUAUUAAGGCUUUAAUAAGCUCAGAGGUCAAGCUGAUAAAGCCAAGAUCUUGACCAGCUGAAUCCAUCACAAAUAGCAAAACAAUUUUUACAAAAGGGUCAUCUUCAUAUGAGUUCCAGUAAUUCAGGCAAAUUCCACUUUGAGUUAAUUUCAUGCUGCAUUUCUGAAUUCCCACUGCAGUUUCUACUGAAUGUAAUAGUGAUUGUGGGUUUUUCCCUUGUUCCAUCCAAAGAGUUGGUGACAGGCAACAAGCCUACAGCAGCUGCCCUAUUUCACUGGGGAGAGAGGCCGCAUGUGCAUCCUGAAUGAAACCAUCUGCUAGAAUUUUCUAGCACUCCGCUAAGGAACAGAAAGAAGGAGAAUUUUCCAAGAAGCUUCAUUAAAGGUGCUCCUGCCAUUGUAACCCCGUCUGCCAUGAGCUCCUCCCCAGAGACUAAACCACUGUGAUCUCCUGAGCUUGGAUUUUCAAUCCCCAAUCUAAGAGGUGUUUGAUGAACUACAGACAGGACGAGGAGGCUGGUGCAUGGCUUCAAAGUAACAGGAUUCUGGUGAGAAGGAAAGAAAAAUCGAGCAGCUUGUCAUAUUCUAACAGGAUAUUGCCAUUUAUUUAGUGUUGUCUGAAAAUAACAACCAAGCCAUUAGCCAAGAAUAAGGAAACUACAUGAGCUAAUCAUGACAGAGUCAGGAUAAAGACCAUGGCUAAUACCUUGUUUGCUCCAUGAUCAACAUGUUUCUACUAAGGCAAUUAACAAGAUACAGAGGAAAAAUCCUGACAGCUCUUCUGCCACUUACUAGGCUAGUGGCACUGAGCUAGACUAUUUUAUUUCUAUGAACCUCAUUCUGGGUGCAGGCAAAAUGAAGAUAAAAAAUAACCUUAAUCCUCAUAAUCUUAAAAAGGAGCUGUGGAGUUAAGUAAUAUAACAUUUGUUAGGUUAGGGCUUGGAUGCAUCAAAGGUAGAAUGCAAGCAACUCUUGGGUAGCCUGGAUGUUUUCAUUUUAAGGGCUGAACCAGAAGGGCAAUGUUUAAAGCAAAUGAACUGACUAAAGUGAAAAAUUCCAGACUGUGUAAAUGAAUCUAAAGAGGGAGUAUUAUGUGCAAAUCACAAGUUCUCAUAAGGGCUGCAAAGAUGGAGAGGUCAAGUACCUAAUACAUGGACAUUAUAACACAGGUCAGUUGUACCAUAAAUAUCAGUUGCACGAAACAAGUUGAGAUUAUUUGUUUUGCUUUGUGUUUUUCUAAUCAGAGCCAGAAAGUCAUAAGAGCUCUGAGCAUCAGAGCUCAUUCUUAACAGAAUGAUAGAGGCCCACCAUUCCUUUCCCAAAAUUUUGGAGCCAGAUGUGUUUUGGAAUUUAGGAUUUUUCAGACUUUAUAAAGGUAAUGUGGAUCAUAUACUAUAUACUGUAUAAUAACACCAGUGUAGUGUGGGGUAAAGAAAUAUUUCUA